rnacentral:rRNA from 1 species
CGUCACACCAUGAGAGUUGGGAAUACCCGAAGCCUGUGAGCUAACUUUAGAGGCAGCAGUCGAAGGUAGAAUCAAUGAUUGGGGUGAAGUCGUAACAAGGUAAC